GAUGAACGCUGGCGGCGUGCCUAAUACAUGCAAGUCGAACGAAACUUCUUUAUCACCGAGUGCUUGCACUCACCGAUAAAGAGUUGAGUGGCGAACGGGUGAGUAACACGUGGGCAACCUGCCCAAAAGAGGGGGAUAACACUUGGAAACAGGUGCUAAUACCGCAUAACCAUAGUUACCGCAUGGUAACUAUGUAAAAGGUGGCUAUACUACCGCUUUUGGAUGGGCCCGCGGCGCAUUAGCUAGUUGGUAGGGUAAAGGCUUACCAAGGCAAUGAUGCGUAGCCGAAUUGAGAGGUUGAUCGGCCACAUUGGGACUGAGACACGGCCCAAACUCCUACGGGAGGCAGCAGUAGGGAAUCUUCCACAAUGGGCGAAAGCCUGAUGGAGCAACGCCGCGUGGGUGAAGAAGGUCUUCGGAUCGUAAAACCCUGUUGUUAGAGAAGAAAGUGCGUGAGAGUAACUGUUCACGUUUCGACGGUAUCUAACCAGAAAGCCACUGCUAACUACGUG
rnacentral:rRNA from 1 species